ACUAAUCUUCUGCUGUCUUACAAAUAAAAUAACUUUAACAUUAAUAAAUAAAUAACAAAAAUUUAUUGUUCCACAUUUACCCUUAAGCCAAACUCUUUCCGAUUAUCCAGGAUAUAUUUUGAAGAAUUUGUCGGGUCAAGUCGUAUGCGGCCCUUGAGGUAUGCCGGUUUACAUAUAUCACUUUAUAUUAUAAUAAUUGUCAUUAUGGUUCCACUUGCGAUGUGUGAGUGAGUACUUACAGAUACAAAAAAUUGUUUUAUAAAUAAAAUAGUAGCAAAACCGAAGACCCCCUUGCAGGGACAUACCGACGAAUCCGACGAAUGUCAGAUUUACCUGAUACUGAUAGAACUAUCGGUCAAAGUCCAUAUACUCUGGGCGAAUGGGGCUAACAGCUAAAGCGAGGGCCAGGCAACGCCUCCCAAAACAGUUUUAGUUGAAGUACACGCUCCAGGACAGCGGAGGUACUUUUUACACAUUGUACAAAAUGAUACUUCAAAACAAAAUAUUGAUUGGAUGGCAACGACCAUUUGGGGGGGAGGGGGAUAAAUCAAACAAUUAUUUCAAUAUCCGUUUCGAUGGUUAACUGAAAUCGAGGAUUCAGAGCGGUGGAUUGAAGAAAAGAAAGCAAAGGUUAAGAUUAAGCAAACUCUGUAGCGGCAUGCACAUAAUGGAUAUUAGCCUCAAAAAUAUGGACAAACGAAGGGAUGCUCUUAUGUUUAGCUACUAGUGGGGGAUAAGGAUAUAUAUACAUAUUCUAUACAUUUCAUUCAAUAUGAAUGAGUGUGCCAGGUUCUGGUUACAUACUUUUCAGUCAGCAUCUAGACCUUUUUUUUUAGUUUUGGGGUGUGCUAAAACAGGUGUGAUAUUUCUUUCAUUGAGUAAAUAUUCUUGAUCAAUGUUAUUAUUAUUAUUGUGUGCAUUGACUCCGUGUUGAGUUCCCUAUACAGUCUUUAGAAAA